GACAGAGGAUGCAAGCGUUAUCCGGAAUGAUUGGCGUAAAGCGUCUGUAGGUGGCUUUUUAAGUCCGCCGUCAAAUCCCAGGGCUCAACCCUGGACAGGCGGUGGAAACUACCAAGCUGGAGUACGGUAGGGGCAGAGGGAAUUUCCGGUGGAGCGGUGGAAAUGCGUAGAGGAUCGGAAAGAACACCAACGGCGAAAGCAACUCUGCUGGGCCGACACUGACACUGGAGAGACGAAAGCUAGGGGAGCGAAUGGG
rnacentral:rRNA from 1 species